rnacentral:lncRNA from 1 species
CCCAACAGGUACUAAAUCCAUAGCUACCAACGUCUAAAAGGUACUAAGUCCAUAGCUACCGGUGUUUGUCCCAUAGGCACUAAGUCUAUAGCUGCCAAUGUAUACUCACGUCAUCUUCUAUCUCUCAUCAUUCAUCUACCCAUCUCAUACCCAACAUUUUCGUAUAUAUAAAAUACGUAUACAGUUUAAGUCCUUUAAAACAUGUAUAAAACGUUCAACCAACAUAGACAGCAAGUAUUCAGAUAAUGUGCACACAUAGCACGUAGUUUAUAUAAAAUACUUCAUAUCUAUGUGUAAGAUGAAAGGGACUAUGCACUCACCUGAAAGGUGGUGAGUCGGCACUCGGACAGCACUUCGUUACUCUUAAAACAAUUAUCCCUUGACGAAACCUAGUAUCAUUACCACUAGAGUUUAGUCUAACGCUUGACGAGACUAAUUUAAUAGUCUAGCUAUUAUUACUAUUAUAUAAGCGUUAAAUAACACUCAAUAUAACUCAUAAUAAUAGCCUAAAUAAUUAUUUUAAGGUCCUAACAAUGUUACUAUAAUUAAAUAAAAUCUAUAUUAAAUAUACUAUAGGCGUAGCUCACUUACAGCGGGUUUUUAUUAAAAACCGGGCUUCGCUGGAGCAGCGUUUCCGAGCCGAAAGCUUUUCUUCUCGGAGCCGUCGGGCGCUCCGGGGCUUUCUUCUCGUGAUAGGGAGGUUCCCUAGACUUGGGAGGGGUUUAGGGAGGUUAGAGAGAAGUUAGAGAGAGAAAGAAAGGCUUAUGGUGUGAAGAAAAUAUGAGGAGUUCACCCUUGUAUUUAUAGGAAGUGUAUAGUAAAGUAGUCUCCAAGCUUCGUCCGUAACUUUUGCAUACGAGCUCCGUUUUUGUCUGUCUUUUUACUGUUGAGUUCCUAUUAAUGAGAUCUUCAACUUUCAUUUAGACCUCGUUGGCUAAUUCUCAUUCUAUCUCGGAUUUACAAAACUGUAUCAAAUUCGCCGCGCUCGAAAAGUAGGGACUAAGCUUCGUCCAUAACUUUCGCAUACGAGCUCCAUUUUUGUCUGUCUUUUUACCGUUGAGUUCCUAUUAAUGAGAUCUUCAACUCUCAUUUAGACCUCGUUGGCUAAUUCUCAUUCUAUCUCGUAUUUACAAAACUGUAUCGAAUUCGCCGCGCUCGAAAAGUAGGGACUAAGCUUCGUCCAUAACUUUUGCAUACGAGCUCUAUUAUCGACGUUCUUUAUAUCCACGCGUUGGUAUUUACGAGUACUACAACUUUCAUUUAGAUCCCGUCGGCUAAAAAUCGACCGAUCUAAAAUUCAGAUUUCGGGCUGUGCACUGCUAUGCUAAAUCUUAGAAAAAUCAUAACUUCCUCAUACGAAGUCAGAUUUGGGCGUUCUUUUUAUCGAUGUUCUUAGUUUAACAUAUUCUACGACUUUCGUUUAGAUCGCUAAGGCUAAAUCUCGCUCUAUCGUAAAUUCACUAUUUACGCUUCCCGGUAUCGUGCCGGUUCCGUCGCGAAACUUCAACGGGUCAUAACUUCUUCGUUAUAACUCGGUUUUCGGCGUUCUUUAUAUGUACGAAAACCUUGUAACAUACUCUACAACUUGGUUAAGAUUAUUUAUUCUAAAUAAUCUUUUGUCGAAAAGUCGUUUUCGACCCCUAUUGCCUCUAAUUUGACUAGCCCAGAUUUGCGGGCGUUACAAUUAUCUCCCCCUUAGGAUGAUUACGUCCCGGAAUCAUCAACGAAACAGGGUCGUAUAAUGACUCCAUACGUCAUCUCUUCAUCCUAGGUAAUAAUUAUAACUUCUACAUUCCUUCGAUUCUAUCUCUUAAACUCAUUGACUGUAAGAGUACUCGAUCGUGCACCUGCUCUCUACCUCAGGUUAGACUCCAAAUUAUGACCUUCAAGUCACAAUCUCGAUCCUUGCUGGAUACGGACUUGAGAUAAGUUCUUUUAUUACUACUAUAGAUCGAUGUGUCAUAUUCUAAUGACCUAUCAUCGUAUGUUGCAACACUUAGACUUAGGUCUCUUAGAGUUAAAUUCUAAAACAGACUAUGCCUUCCUUCAUGUUCUAAUGUGAUAUAAUCACACUUUAACAUUAGGCAUUUCUAGCCACCAACUUCUUUAACAACGAGUGCGAUACUUCUAUUGAUCGCUUUGAUUUCAACCGUUUGGUUUAAGUCGGACGCUACAUCAAACUUGGUUCUCUGAACCACACAACAUACUCAUCGUAGUCGGACUCGAUUCGAUAUGACCACUAGGGUCGGAAUAUCAACAAUCUUCUUAGUCAUUACCGAAACGAUGGUAACAACACACUUGAAUAAAACGAAAUCAAUUACUAGCUUCUUGGUAACCUUGUGACUUUCCCUGAUCCAAGUGUGAGUCCUGUGCUUCCGGUAGUAUAGGCCUCUACUACCAUUCACACCUACUCAUACUCGUCCCAAGUAUUGUCUCGCAGUUUCCCAAGUCACCAUGCAGCAAAUCACACAAUCAUUCGACACAUCAGAUAACAAAACGAAGGUUUUAUAUUAAUUCUUGAAACGAUUACAUAGGUGUUCAAGUUCACCCUAGACUAUGCCUCUACUAGGCUACAUCAUACGAAACUAUGGCUACUGCAUAAUCCGAUCUUCGGGUAAGAAGUCCUCAUUCUUGAUUCCUCGCAUGGUUCUCUGCUUCGUCGAGGAUCAUGUGAAAUGCCCUUGGCCUUGGUGGCGUUUCUGGUCUUGCUGCUUUAUUUUUCCUUGGGCAGUCUCUGGACAUGUGCCCCUUGCCUCCACAUCCGUAGCAUACUUUGUCAUUAUGUGUGCAGUCUUUGGAAUAGUGACCCGUCCUCCCACACUUGUAACAAGUCACUUCUUCGUUGCACUUCCCACCAUGCUUCUUCUUGCAUUUAUCACACCAUCUUGUUUCACCUCCAUCUGCUCCUCCGAGUUUUGAGAAUUUGCUUUCCUUGUUCGACCUCGAAGAUCCCUCAAACUUUCGCUUCUCUCCUGCCUUAUCUUUUUCUAGACCCUUUUCUCUUAUCUGGGCCUCUACGUUCUUAGCUGCCCUAAUAGCUGCUUUUAAGGUAGUUGCCAUUUUGACCAUUGGACCAAAGUCAGUGGGCAGUCCGUUAGCAAACCUAUCAAUCUUGGAGAGUUCAGUAGGCACCAAGUAGGGAAAUAGCUUCAUCCUCUCGGUAAAUGCGGUGGCAUACUCAUCAACACUCAUCUUCCCUUUCUUCAGGUUCUGAAACUCGUUGUUUAGGUCUAUCAGAUCUACCUCCGAGCAGUACUGCAUUUUCAACUGUUCCAAAAACUCUUCCCACGACAUCCUUAAGGCUUCUCCUCGUGGCAUCGUAUCUGCCAAUAGCUUCCACCAGCUCAAGACUCCAGUUUUCAGCUGUCUUACUGCAAAGACAGUCUUCUGUUUCUCAUUACAGCUGCAGCUCUCAAACACCAUCUCCAUCUCAGAGAUCCAAUCCAUAACCUCAACCGGCUUUGGGCUUCCUGAGAGGCUUGGUGGUUUCGCACCCAAGAAGUUCUUGUACAUCCGCCCAUCCUUGUUGUUUCUCCCUUCUGGGCCAUCCCUUUGCUCACCUUGAGUCCCAACUUGACUCACUUGGCGGCUGUAGUUCCCUUCCUCAGAUUGCUCGGGAAUCAGUUCGGGUUGCUCAAUGGGCAUAGUAGGUUCGUCCCUAUUCAACAUCCGUCUCAUUUCUUCCCUUUGUUCAGCCAACAUAGCCCGAAUCAUGGCUUGAACUCCAGCCAUGGUGACUGGCUCAGGCGCAACUUCUUCUACAACAGGUAUUUGCUGAACCACUGGGGGUUGGUUCCUGUUCCCAUUUGCGUUUACGUUUCCGCUACGGGUCCUUACCAUCUCGAUCUAUACACCGAAUAAGGUGAAUUUAGACCUUUACUUGACGUUUAAAUCAUCCUUAUCACUCCGAAACAUUUACAUGCUAGUUCUAAUACCGUAGUCGUACGUUUAGAAUCCUAAACACAUAAGGUUUCCAGAUCCGGUCGGCAACAGACCAUAGAUCCGAACAAUUAACAACAUAUCAUGCACAAAGCAUUUAGCACAUAAAAGCAUUUUAGGCACAAUUCCUAAAAUAAGCUAGUGCUCACACCUCACAAUCAUCGCUUAGCAUUCUAAGUUUAAGUCUAGAAAUAAAUCCAUAUUCCUAGUUCGCUUAAACUAAUGCUCUGAUACCAACUGUGACAUCCCCAAAAUCACGGCCAGAAAAGACCGAUUUUGUUUAUGCUUUAUAAAAAUCAGAGUACUUCAUUUUAUAAAAAGGUUGCGGAAUUUGUUCCCAGAAAAACAUGGUAAAUACGUUAUUAAAACAUUUUCGAAGAAACGUAUUUAUUUCAUUUUAAAAUGUUUGGGAUGUCAUCGUUAAUACCGAAACAUAAGCAUAAACAGAAUUACAAUGAUUUACACUAGUGAUCUACAUCUCUUUUAAAUCUCUCAGUGUAAUGUCACUUCACUUCGUCACCUGUGAUAUACAUAAACUGAGUGGGUCAGGUUGGGAAACCUGGUGAGUACAUAGGGUUUUCAACCCACAAUAAUAUAAUUAUUAUGUUCAAUCAAACAAUCAACCCAAUUACCCAUCCCCAUUAUCUUCUUUACUCUUUAAGGAUUUAACCUAAGAGUCAUCUAUCCUGCAUUCGUUUAUUCCGAAGUCCCUUACUUCCAGGGUUAUGGGACUGGCACUAAAUCCAUAGCUGCCAAUGUUCGUUCAUAAAGCACUAAUUCCAUAGCUGCUAUAGUCUAUUCAUCGGGUACUAAAUCCAUAGCUACCAGUCUUUAUCUAAUAGGUACUAAGUCCAUAGCUACCAAUGUUCAACAGGUACUAAGUCCAUAGCUACCAAUUCCUACAGGUACUAAAUCCUUAGCUACCAGCGUCUAACUAAUAGGUACUAAGUCCAUAGCUACCAAUUCCCAACAGGUACUAAAUCCAUAGCUACCAACGUCUAAAAGGUACUAAGUCCAUAGCUACCGGUGUUUGUCCCAUAGGCACUAAGUCUAUAGCUGCCAAUGUAUACUCACGUCAUCUUCUAUCUCUCAUCAUUCAUCUACCCAUCUCAUACCCAACAUUUUCGUAUAUAUAAAAUACGUAUACAGUUUAAGUCCUUUAAAACAUGUAUAAAACGUUCAACCAGCAUAGACAGCAAGUAUUCAGAUAAUGUGCACACAUAGCACGUAGUUUAUAUAAAAUACUUCAUAUCUAUGUGUAAGAUGAAAGGGACUAUGCACUCACCUGAAAGGUGGUGAGUCGGCACUCGGACAGCACUUCGUUACUCUUAAAACAAUUAUCCCUUGACGAAACCUAGUAUCAUUACCACUAGAGUUUAGUCUAACGCUUGACGAGACUAAUUUAAUAGUCUAGCUAUUAUUACUAUUAUAUAAGCGUUAAAUAACACUCAAUAUAACUCAUAAUAAUAGCCUAAAUAAUUAUUUUAAGGUCCUAACAAUGUU